GGCUUUGGGAGAAAAAGGAAAAAUAAAAUCUUAAAAAAAAAAAAGAGGAUCUACAAAAAUUUACAGCAGAAGUCAAAACAAGACAAAGAUGCCCGCUAUCAUCACUUCUAUUCAACAUUGUACUGGAGGUCCCAGCUAUACAAUAAGACGAGAAACCGAAAUCAAGAGCGUAAACAUUGGAAAGAAUGAAAUAAACUGUCAUUAUUCACAAAUUACAUAUUAAUCUAUAUAAAAAAUACAAAUGAAUGUACAAUCUUCAUAUCUUUGAGACUCAGCCUUAUUAGACAUAAGGGAAAUACAUAUCAAAACAACAAGAAUAGCAAAAUACCAAAAGCUGACAAGAAAAAGAGCAAUUAGAAUUCUUAUGCACCACAGGUAGGAAUGUAAAUUGAUAACAGGCACUAUGGAAAACUGUUUGUCAACAACUACAAAAGUGAACAACAUAUGUAUACCCUACACUCAGCAGUUCCACUGCUAGAUGUGUAUAUGUUCACCAAAGACAUGUUCUAGAAUGUUUAUAGCAUAUGUUUAUAUUAGCCCAAUACCAGAAACAGCCCAAAUAUCUUUCAACAGUAGAAUGGACAAAUGUAUUGUGGUGUAGUCACACAGUGAAACACUUUACAGGAGAAGUCCGCAAACUUUUUCUGUAAUAGUAAUAAAUAUUCUAAUAAAUAUUCAGAUAGUAAAUAUUGUAGACUUUGUAUGCCGAGAAUUUCUACUGUAACUACUUAACUCUGUCAUUGUAACAUGAAAGCAGCCAUAGACAAUACUUAAACAAAAGAGUAUGACUGUGUUUCCAAAAACCCAUUAUUUAUGGACGCUGAAAUUUGAAUUUCAUAUAAUUUUCAUGUCAUGAAUAUUAUCUUUCUUUUGAUUUUUUUUAACUGUUUAAAAAUGUAAAAAUCUUCUUUAGCUCACAGACCAUACAAAAACAGGCAAUAGGCCAGAUUUGGCUCACUUGCCAUAGUUUACCUACCCCUGCUCUAUAGCAAUAAGAAUGAACGAACACAACUAUAUACACCAAUGUGAAUUAAUCUCACAUGAUUUUGAGUGAAAAGUCUAGAUACAAAAUAGUACAUACUGGAUGAUUCCAUUUAUGUGAAGUUUACAAGUAGACAGAAUUAAUCUAUGACGUGAGAAGUCAAGUUAGAGACUACUCUUGGGGUAGUUGUCAGAGACUGCACAAGGAGGGCUUCCGGGACACUAGGAAAACAUUCCACUUCUUGGUCUGGAUGCCGUUUGCACAGUGUGUGCAGUUAGUGAAAAUUCAUGGAGUACAUUUUUGAUUUGUGCACUUUUCAGUGUGUAUGCUACUUUAAAAAAAACUUUAUUAAAUUGAGGGGCUUUAGUUAUAUGGAAUUGGAGAAGGGGGAAAUGAGGUACAUACAACGGUAAUUCUCUACCAAGAGGAAAAAAAUGACUAAAAAGGCACAACAAUCGAUGGUAGAUUUUUUUUUAAAGAAUCACUGAAAAAAAUUCCAAAACAAAAGAUGGUCUUUAAAGAUGAAAUGAAAUAUUAUUAUAAAAUGGCUGAAGUGUUUAACUCCUUCAAACACUCUGUUUCUUAAGGAAAAUAAUAUAGAUGAACUUUAUUGCUGAGGAAAUCUCCAAAAGGAGAAAAAUCAGAGGACCAUUCGACAUUUCAUUAAACCUCUAGCCUUUUCAAGUAUCUCUGAAUAUGGUCUGAUUAUUUCUCUUCUGAUGUCUUUGGAUCCUGCUAGUACUGUAGUUAUAACUAGGUCAUACUAAGUCCCAACCAUGCAGCCUUGACAAAAUAUAGCCUUUCAUUUUAUGCUAUAGACCUGAAAUUUAAUCUUCAUUUUUUAUACCCAAAGAAUAAAAAAAUGUUUUAUCCAAAAAUAUAUGUAUUUAAACUGAUAGUGACUUAAGUUCCCAAGGGUUGAUUCCAUUGUUUCAGUGGUAUCUGUGGGAGAUUUAAGAACUUGUUUGGGGGUUUGCUGCAGCAGCCAAAAAGCAGCUUUAGCCACUGGAUUCCAUGAAAUUUUAAAAUAAAUUUUCAAACUAAGAAUAUAUAGAGGACAAAGCAAGCUGUUACAUAAUUAGAAACCAAUAAAAAAAUUUUUUACUUUUUGUCUGUUUGUCACUGAGCUUUGGAAUAAGAUAAAUGUAGUUUUUUUAAAGCCAGAAUUCUAUACUUGCUGAACACUCUCUUUACAGCUCCUUGGAGUAUCUACAUAAUGUAACAUUAACUUAUUUUCCAUUACUUUUGCAAUUCACCUUCUUUGCAACAUUACUGAUAAUUUUUGUAGCCAAAUUGCUUUUGUUUAAAACCUGCUUUAUGUAUAUAUAUUCUAUUCUCUUGAAUUAUCAUCUUCAUUUACAGACCAGAAUGUAUAAACCAUUCCAGCCUGACUUCCAGAAUUUUUAGAGUUAAAAAAUAAAAAUCCUGCUGCUUGUGCCUAUGAUACCUGGUAUUAUUUAUGGGUUUUCAUAAAAAAAAGGAGGGUGAGAAGAAAAAAUACAGUACUCUCUGGCCUCGCUCUACCUUCUCCUCCUUCUAUAUUCCCCCUCUCCACAGAGGAGUUUAAUUUUAAAUGAUAAAUGUGGAAAUUAGAGACCAUCGAGAAAAUCCAAUUUGGUGAGGAGUUUUAAAAAUCCCAUAAUAAACGCAGAGUGAAAUGUAUGAUUUAAUGCAGGGCGCCAAUGGCUGCUAUUAUGGGCUAUUAGCAAAUCGGGGCUGAGAGUGAAUCUUUAUCACUUGGUGAGUGCGGGUUGGUCCUGCCUUUCCCUCUGCUAUUGAUUUGUAGCCGCUUGUCAUAAUGACACCGGGAAGCAAUGAAUGGAAGAUGUGCUUUUGAUAGGAUUCAGGGGGGUCUUGGAGGGGGGAGAGAAAAUUCAGCAAGUUUUCUAUCUCUUCUGCCUGAUUAGAUUUUUUUCUUCUUUUAAGAGCUUUCACAUUCCAAUAAAAAUGCUAAAUCAGCUCUGUACCAGAAUUGUUAAGGUGUAAAUAGCUAGUCACAUUUAAGGGAGGAAAAGAUAUAGAAAUACCAACCAGACUAUGCAAUGUUAGAUGAAUUUGACUUUAUAGGAAUGGAGUUGUGCAUGUGUAUGUGUGCGCACACGUGUGUCUGAACACAUGAGGAGCAGUGUAAAGGCGUGUCAAGGCAUAAUGCUAUAAGUACUCUUACUAUAUAAAGAUACACCUAUAUUUUGUAAGGAUGUGAUUGCUUGCAUCUAAUAUAUGAUAGAUGGUGGUCUAGCUUUAUAUGAGUGUCCAUUUUAUGAAGAGAAUACAUUCUGUGUGUGUGUGUGUGUGUGUGUGUGUGUGUGUGUGUGUGUGUGUAAUUCCAUAGAGGACACAUAGAAAGAGGUAUACUUGUGCUGAUGAUUAAGAAAAUUAGAUUCCCUAAAUCUGACUGGUCAUAACAGAGCUUUACUCAAAAUUUUCACAUACGGAAAGCAUACUGUUUGAGAACAAAGGCACUCGUAGGGUGAUCCAAUGGAAAAAAGAUUUCUGUAUAGAAAAAUCUACAUAAAAUUUUCCUUGGAAUGAGUUAGCUGUGGUUAUGUGGAAAUGGUGGGUUGGAGCCCCAGUAUAUUUCAUUCUCUCCUUUUAAGAGGAAACAAUUGCUUUCCUUCUAGGUUCUUUUAUUCCAAGGUAAUGCAAGGCAUUUGGGUCCCUGUCUGUGCAUGCAUAAGUACAUGCAGGCAGUAUGAUAUUAAAGCAGUGGAUAUGGCAAAUGUGAUCAUGGUGGGGGGGGGUAGAUUCAAUGAACAUAUUAGACCAUUUUGUUAGUAAUAUCAUGUGAUAAAACCCACCUUCUCACCUGCUUUAUUUCUCAGGCAAAUCUAGAUGAGACUUUUGGUAAGAAGAACACAAAUAUUCCCCCUGUAGUAAGUAGAAUACCACUGCUAGAUAUUUGUUAAAUGCUUAUGGCUUUAUCUUUACUAGUUGAGGAAGAAUAAAAAACAUUAAAAUACACUGUUGCACUUACGCAGGAACCAGGUUUGGAAAACAUACCAUCUGAAUCCUUAAGACAAACCUAAACACCACUACCAGCUUUUCUAGUCUAUUGAAAUACACCAUGAAAAAAUUAGAUAGCCCUGGUUUAUAGAAUUUAAUGCUAGGGAACCAAAAAGCAGCUUUGAAAAAAAUCAAAACUAUUGAUAUAAGUGUAUUUCUCACUUCUGUGAAGUAAAAAGGUCUGUGUCAUACUCAGGGUAUUAUUUUACUAAAACUGUGUGCAUGUGUAUGUUUGUGUGUGCGUGCAUGAUUUGAAUGUUUAUAGAGAUAGAUGUUUAUAGAGAUGUGGACCAAGAAGAGACAAUUUAUCUACAUUUAGAACCUUGUGCUAUAUAGGGAUGGCUUUCUGUUAGCCAUACCACCUACCUGAAAGGACCUUCUGAGAGCAUGCACCUUUUCAAACUUUGAAAACAAUGCCCUUUAACAGAGAAGGUCUCACAGGCAAUGUAAAUAACUGUCAGAGUUCAUUCACUCCCAUCCCCCAUUCAAGGACUAUGCUUAAACUGUGAUAAAUUAGAAUAUUUCCAUUUAUUAUGUGUCAUUUUUUUAAAAACUAAUUAGGGACAGAAGGAGGCAUUUCUCCAUUUUUCAGGGGGGUUUUAUUUUAUGGUAUAUAGUAAGUGAUUAUUGUUUGGUCUAUAUAUGACUGUUUCAUACUACAAUGAAUUACCUGUAUUAGAGUAAUAAUACCAUAUGUUCACAUAGCCUUUGUUCUGAUGUAAAAGCAUAAUUAAUCAUUCCAAGAGCACAAUGAGGUAGCCGAUCCCAUAUUUUAUAUAUAAGUGAUUUCUACUGUUAUCCAACCAAAAGUAAGAGUUAAAAAUAGAAGAAUUGUGAAACAUUUUUAUUUUUCUUACUCUAAGGUUGUAUAAAAUAUAAAUGCAAGACAUCUCAUUCUAUAAAUCGGGAUAAAUAUAUAUUUCAUAAGUUGGAAAAUUUUCUGAAAUAUCUGUCUUAUUAUUUGCCAGGAAAUCUAUGAAAAAUUAUAAUAAAGUUUAUUGUUGAUUUAUUAUGUCCAGUGAUUAUUUCCUCUUUCAAAGGGACAGGGUGAACAUUUUCCUGCUAUUGAACUUACCUGUUUGGGGCUUAUAAGUAGGAUAUAAAAAUUAUCAAUAAUUUUCCUGAUUGAAAUUAACUUGACUAAAUAUAUGAAAUGAGAUUAUAGUUGUGACAAAGUACUUUCACAUAUAUUAAGUGCUGGUAUCAUCGUUAUGGUUGCUUUUUGUUAUAGUUCAACAACAUAGAAAUAAGGGGUAGAAGAAAAAUAGCCAAGUAUUUACAUAUAUAAACAGAAUGAGGGAAGGAAGAAACUCUAGACAAGAAUAAAUCACUGUUUUGUGUAAAUAGAAGACUAAAAGGCAAAUAAGAUAGAAGGGGAAUUAGAAAUUCCUGGACAUAAAAAUAGUAACAAAUAACAGGUAAUAAAAAUAGUGCAUUGAAGAGACCAUCAAGCUAAAUGGAAAUGAAGAUGUUGAGCAAAAUUUAACCUAAUGUUUUAUAUAUCUAUUAUCUUCUUAAGCUUUUGUUGGGUAGCAAAAGAACAUCAUCUUUUCCGAAAGUGUUCACAGCACAGUAAAAUUUCUCUAAGCUCUGUACGUUAUCACACUAAUCCUCGCAUUAUCAACACCCCUGUGCCGUUUCUGGCAAGAGUUACUGCCCCUGUUUGAUGGAGAAGCUGAAUCACAGUGAAGAUCACUGACUUUGUCAAGGUCAAUGGUGAGUCAGGGAUGGAAAUAGAACCCAGAGUUUUUUAUACCCAUUUCUCUCUCUACUGUUGUCAUUGAUUUGCUAAAGCCCCUCUUCUAUUUGGACACCAUUCAAGGAUUUAAAUAACACAAGUACUUGAAGGCCAUAUUUCAAGGAUAUUUCAUCUCUAAACGUUGUCCUAUUCUGGAAACAUUAGGACAUGUCACCUUUUAUUUGUACCUCUUAUAUUUUUGGAGUGGUUUUAACAUAUUUUGUUUAAUCACUUUUUCAUGCAUUGUUUAAUGUGUACAAUGCAGACUAAUGUACCUCCCCCCACAAAAGAAAAACUAAACUAGAAAAUAAAAUAAAACUUAGAUCCGUGAAUUCUAAUUCUUCUGUUAGUGUUCUUAGUUUCCUCAUUUAUCAGAACACAACUUCAAAGAUCUUAUAUUUACCCAUGUUCUGGGCCAAGUGUCUGACUGAUCCUCACUUUAAUUAUUAAAGAGAAUGACAGCAAUACAUAAACAUGCAUACAUACACAAAUAUAUCACACACACAUAUACAUGCGUUAACAUGCUUAUUAGUCCUUUUUGAGGAUUUGGCUUUUCCUAAUCUUUCUCAUGCUCUGGCUUUAAUUCAUUGUGCAUAGGCUCUUUUAAAAGGGAAAAAAUUACACCCAAGAUAAAGUGGUAGUUUAUGGAGUUACCGGUCUCGUGGUUCAAAUUCCUUGGCGUAUAUUAAGCAAUGAAAACAUAAUUUCCUUCACCCCUUUAAAUUUCUUUGUGCUAGUGUCAAAACUGUUUAAGGGAAUAUAUUACUAGUAUUUAAUGCUGCCUUUUGGAAUAUCUCAGGUUUUCUUCUUCCUGGAAUUUAAAACACACCUUAUAGUCAGGUAAUUUGUUUUUCUAUGUUAUCCCUUUUGGAUUUUGAUUAAGCAUGAACAAAAUUUUUACUAUAUGUUACCAGAAAUAAAAAGUUCAACACAAAUAAGUUUUUAAAAAAUUUUCUUAGGAUACCACCAGCCUGAGUGGAUAAUUUUCCAGAGAUUGAUAGGUGAGAGAGGCGAUUAUUGUCACUGCUAACUUUUUCCUGAGAAAAAGAGUGCUGUUUUUCUAGGUACUAAGAAGCACACUAAAAUUUUUCCAAAUUAUUUUCUUUAAAAACUAGCCUUUCAACAAAAGCAUGUUAUUUUAAAAAUAGAUGUACCUCAUUUCAUAAAAGUUAAAAAGAAAACUUCACUCUUUAAUAUAUUGUGAUAAUCUUACUUAGAUGGCAUUACAAGCCAGAAAAUUGUUCUAAAGCAUCACUUAUCUUUCUCUCUUGGCUAAGGUUCCAAAGGAAACCUCAAGUCCGGUAUAAGCAAAACAAUUCAUGAACAAAAUGGCUGUGAGCACAUUUCAUUUGCAAGACAGCACUAGAGGGCGCUCUUCAGCAGGUCUCAAGAUUAAGAAGCAAUAUCCUGAGAUACAUCUUUCUCUGAUAGAAAUUUUGUCUUGGGAAAAGCUUUGACCAGAUCGUAGUGACAGAAAUGAGAGGCUGGGCCAGUCUUUGGCGCCUGCCCUUGGCUCAGCGCCCGGUGCCAACAGAACACCUUUCAGGAUCCACAGCAACGCAGACAACGAGUCCAGGAUCCCGGCCUCUGCUUGGAACGGAACAGUGUCAUGGCGGAGACGACGGCCUUUGUCUUGCUGGGUGUGAAAGCAUCCGCUUUGCAGGCUCCACUGCGGCAGAAUCAAGUUUAAAGGAAAAAGUGAUUAAAGUCAGCUUUGUGCCUCUUUGGUGUGGAAGACCCCCAAACCCCAAGUAGCCGAGUCCCUGGGUCCGAGGAAGGGCUCAUAGUUGGAGCAGCCUAGGCUGUAAUCCUGGCACUUGCGCCUUCGGUUGCUGCUUGCUGUUCGCUCCUGGGGGUCUGGAUAAUCUCCCUUGGCUUUACCGCACUGUCUGGCCCGCAUACAGGGCCCCCGUAACAUAUACCCGCUGCUGCUAUCGCACGAAACUGUGGCGUUGCCCCUGAAUGGAUGGCACUGUGCCAACUCUUCUGCCAUCCGCCCUUGCAGCUUUUUUCUUUCCUGCCUCCCUCCCCUUCUUCUCCUCCUCCUCCCGUCGACUUGACGUUAAUUAACACACGGGUUAAUUGAUUUUAAAAGCCGAAGAAUUACAGUUAACUUUUCCCACAGGGUACAGACGCCAGCCGCUUGGCACACUCUGCCUUUCGCACUGGUGCAGGGGGGCAGGGAGAGCCCGCAGCAAACCUAGCAACUGCUGAGGGAACGUUGCCUGCUUAUUGGAGUAGCGCCGAUAGAAGUCGACGUGGCACUGCCUCGUCCUUACCGUAUGGAGAGCCAUUCUAUAUUUUGUUAAAUAAUCAAAGCACAACCCUGUCUUUCUUCUUCUCCCUUCCUCGUUCAAAACAGGAAAACCCUUCAGAAGUUCUUAUGGGGAAAAAAUAUCCCUCCCCCAGACUAUUUAUCUCAUCCAUAAUAUGCUUUUUUUCCAAUAAGAAGAAAAUACGUGAUGCCUGUUUUUUUUUCAUUACAAGAAGGAAAGCUACUCUUUCCCUAAACAUCACAGGCAAAGAAGAUUUUUUUAAAGAAAAAGUUCCAUAAAGUUUCUUUCUCUAUAUCUCAGUAUUUUGUUUUGUUUCUAUUCCUCUUGACUCAGAUGGGUUAUUUAUGGUGAAAGAUUUCAGUAAGAAAGUAGGUACAUUGUAAUUAAGAACAAAAUUCAUAUGAAAGCUCUUUGUUUUUUUUGUUUAUAUGUGUGUAGAUUUUUGCUUUCUGUCCCCUUCACCCCAAUCCGCUGUAGAAAAUGAAAGCAAUUGAUAUUGUAGUUGGGAAGGAGACAGGCAAGGCUGGGAACUUGAUGCUUUCACCUUUUCAUGCUUUCAUUUUAUUUCAUUUUGUUUUUUAAAAGCAUGCAGCAAGUGAAGCGACAAGAGGAAUCCAUUAUGCAAAUCAUGUCACUUUGCAUAAUGUCUCAUGACUGGAAUAUGCAAAUGAGCUGUAUAAUUUAUGAGUGCCAGUGUCUGUCUAAAAGUGUUUCACAUAAUUUACAAAGUGAGCCUGAGAGACAUGGGGAAGGCAGCUCUUCCAACUCCAUUGCCAGGAAAGCUCUGUAUUUUCUUACAAGUGACUCCCUAGUAAUAUUGUCAAGUGCUGUUUAAAAGGAAUUAAGGUUCCAAAUGUUCAUGAAAGAGGAAGAUUUUCCUCUCACUCCUCACUCUAAUUCUUUGCCUAAAAGUUUAAAUGAAACUAUUAGACUCUAAAGCAUUAACUUUUAGAUUCAAUUUCGAAAAGAAAAGUUGAGCCAAACUUGCUUUUUGUAUAUGGAUUUUCCUUUCUAAAGCAAGAAAUCUUAGGAAAACAGACACCUUAUCCAUUUGUCUGGAUUUAUGAAGGCAAAAAAAAAUGGGACUUCUCACUUUAGCUGGUUUUGCAUGCCAUACUGUGUGCAAUAUUUUAUAAAUUUUAGUCUCUUGGAUGUAUUGGAUAUGUAAUAUGGAAGACUGAUGCAUUCAAUAUUCUUCUGAACGUAUAAUUCUGCUUUCAGAGAAGUCUUCAAAAGAGAAAUGCCAUUCAAUAAAAACCAAGUUUUAGUUAAGUCAGCUUAGUUGGCUAUUCCAUGUCUCAAUUUGGUAUCGAGUAAGUGAUUCUGAACCUUUUGAGAAGUUAUAACAUCUUUGAUAAUCUGACCUAAUCUAGCCUUUUGUUUUUUAUUUC